AUUGAACGCUGGCGGCAGGCCUAACACAUGCAAGUCGAGCGGAGCGGCGGACGGGCGAGUAAUGCCUAGGACUCUGCCUGGUAGUUGGGGAUAACGUCCGGCAACGGGCGCUAAUACCGCCUACACUCCGAUGCGCAUAGCCAGGAUUAGCUAGUUGGUGGGGUAAAGGCCUAACAAGGCGACGAUCCGUAACUGGUUUGAGAGGAUGAUCAGUCACACAGUAACGGAGACACGGUCCAGACUCCUACGGGAGGCAGCAGGGGGGAAUAUUGGACAAUGGGCGAAAGCCUGAUCCAGCCAUGCCGCGUGUGUGAAGAAGGUCUUCGGAUUGUAAAGCACUUUAAGUUGGGAGGCGUUACCAACAGAAUAAGCACCGGCUAACUUCGUGCCAGCCGCCGCGGUAAUAC
rnacentral:rRNA from 1 species